AGGUCAUUUCAAAGAGGGCUUGAUGGCUGUAAAACCAAAAGCUCUUAACUCUGUGACCAAAGAUUGACUUGAUGUUCUUCAUAGAGCAGAUCAUGCACUUUUUGAUAGUGCUGUGUUUUUUUCUGAGUUGCCUUGGUC
rnacentral:snoRNA from 14 species